rnacentral:tRNA from 1 species
CUCGCGCUGGUGGGGCUGGGUCGGCCGCUGCCGGGGCUGCGGAUCUCGGCGCUGGAGGUGGCGGUGCUGGCGGCGGUGUUCGUCCUCGGCGCCGCGGCC